AUACAAGAUCAGGAAGUGUUCUUAUUUGUAGUAAGUUCAUUCUAUUCAAAUUAGGUAUCCUUUGGAAUAGGAAACGUUUUCAGCCAUUGUACAUUAUUGAACUUUUAUUUUGUCUACCGUGUACAAAGUACCUGUGAGAUGGGGAUACAAAGACAUUUUCCAAAUUUUGGGCUCCAGUCGAUUCUUGUGUAUUACGCUGUGAGCAAGACUUGCAUGUCGUCACAGAGAACGGGGCACUAUCCCUGAUAAAGAUUGUGGGAGUUGGCUUCCUACAGCAUCGAUCACAUGGCUUUAACCCACGAGCAAGAUGGCUGAAGCUGAAGAAUGGGCUGGAUCACAAAAAUAGAUUUUCUGUCUGAGGUUUAAUAUGCUUUCUUUCUUUCUUUCUUUCUUUCUUUUUUUUUCUGAAGACUGAGUCUAGCUCUGUCACCCAGGCUGGAGUGCAGUGGCACUAUCUCAGCUCACUGCAACCUCCACCUCUGGGUUCAAGUGAUUCUCCUGCCUCAGCCUCCCGAAUAGCUGGGAUUACAGGCACCUGCCACCAUGCCCAGCUAAUUGUUGUAUUUUUAGUAGAGACGGGGUUUCACUGUGUUGGCCAGGCUGGUCUCAAACUCCCGACCUCGUGAUCCACCUGCCUUGGCCUCCCAAAGUGCUGGGAUUACAAGCUUCAGCCACCGUGCCCGGCCAUUUAAUACACUUUCAUCAUUAUACUCAGUUUCCAGAAGGGCUUCUUGGAGUUAAGGAACAUGGGUUUGGAAAUCAAGAGAUGGGUUUGAGGCCUGAUGUAAUGGUGAUUUGAGUGUGAUUUUGAAUAAGCCAUUUUUUCCAUUAAGGAUCUCCAUUUUGUCUUUGGUAAAUCAAGAACAGUGCAACACACCAGACUUACUGCUACUGAGUCAUUUAGUUACCGCUGCAGAGCAAACCGUCCCCAAAAUCAGGGGCUUUACACAACUAUUUCUUGUUAGAGUUCACGCAAUUGCAGGUCAGCUGAGGUCUCUUGUUAGAUUUGGCUUGGCUGGGGUAGCUAUGUGAGACAACUCCGAUUCGUCUCUCAUUAAUCUCCUGGAACCAAUGGGCUAGCCUGAGAAAUGUCCUUCUCCUGGUGGUAGCUAAAACAUAAGAUCACAACAGAAACACAAGACAGCUCUUGAGGUCUAGGCACAGAUCAGGCAUAUAUUCACUCUGGUCUUAUUCUAUUGGCCAAUGUGAGUUACAUCGUUCAAAUCAGAGUCACUGCAAGGGCACAAGGCAAAGGACAUAUGUCCCAGCAUGCAUACCAGGAGGGGUGGAGAAUUGGAGCCACCCCUAAUGUACAACAUUUAGGACAACAGUUAAAAUACAAAAGUACUUUGCAAUCAAAUUUCAAAGAAGUUCAGUUAAUCAAAUUUAUGUACUCAUCUUUUACCUAAAGUUUCAGCAUUUGUAAAGUCUCUAACUGUUCAGAUCUACACUGUUUAAUUAGCUGUUCUAAUUGUUUCAGAAGUACAAUAUUUUUUCAUGACAACCACCACCACCACAGAACACCUUGCAUUUACAUGAACCAACAAAAAUCCUUGUUAUUAGAACAAAAAGGUUUUUUUUUUUUUUAAGUAGGCCGAUACAAGAUGGUCAAAGGAUAUACAAAGACAAUGUUUGCAUUUUCUUUGUCUGUUAGUAAAUUACCUGGCUGACCCCUGCUUCUGAAGAAACAGCACUUUUCUUAUUCUGUCCACAUUUGAAGAGAGGAGAUCAUUGAUACUUACUUGCCCACUCUAAUCACAAAUGCGAUAGGUCUAAUUCUCUCCACUUUGGGAUCCCUGCAUCAUUCCGGAGACAGGCACUGUACCUGGACCGGCAUGGUUAAACAUCACUCAGACAUCAGUGCACCCUCCCAUAGCUUUUAUCUCUGAGCUGAGCUCUCUGUGCACAAAGUGCUUGUGAAAGGACAGAAUGUCAAAGACAGGAACAGGUUGUGCAUUUCUAAAGAUAGCUGGAGAGAGUUUAAGCAGCAUGUAUAUUUCUAUCCUUAUUCACAGCUUGUGUAUCAAGCUUCAUAGUUAGUUAUAAGCAUUUUAUUUUAAUUAAAGAGACAAACAAUGACCCAGUGAGAGAAUUUCUUUAUUUUGAAUUUUGUAUUUUCUUCCUGCUCUCUCAGCCUGCCAUUCUGACGGUGGAGAAAUGGAUAUGGGCAGUUCAGCCACCUCACACCAUCACACUCUCUUUUGAGAGCGGUCUUGGAAACCAGCCAGAUUGCAUUGUUGUCCUUCUGUCAAUUACAAGUGUGCCAGACACCCAAAGCAUUGGGGAGGAAGUGCAAUUAUUAGAAGCUACCCAAGAGACUAUCCCAAUGUCAUCCCUGACUUGCCAGGUGACCUUUAGAAAAUCAAAUGUGUAAAAGAGGGAUGAUAAAUUGUUCUCUAGGCCAAUCAUGCAAAUGAGUAGAAACACCAAAGGAGAAAAAAGUUAGGGAAAGGAGAAUUCCAAAGAAACCAAUUUUUGUUCAUGGAAGAACUGUCUUCUAAUACAAAGAGAACCAUUCCCAAAUAAUGGGUAAAAUCCUUCCCCCAGAUAUUGGUCAUAAUUUACCAACCUACUCCUGUUCAUGUCUGUUAAUCCCAAAUGCCUUCUUCCUGCCAAAACCCAUGUAUCUAACACCUAUUUUUUCAUUUUUGGUGAAGCGUUAAUGGUUUUAUAAAAUAACUUCUAAGAUUCUUUACCCCAAUGCCAGAAAAGCCUUUAUUUUCCCUUGGACAUAGGGCUGUGGGGAUGAGAGUGAGAACAUAAAUGGGAAAGCAGAAAAAUCUAUUUAUUUAUUAUUCAUGUGUCUAUGGAUAUAGCAACUCUAUUGGCCUGGUUGUGGUCUGACACUGAAGGGAUUAUAUUUUCAGAGCAAAUAUUAAAGGGAGAAAUUAUUCUUAGUCAUCAAAGGAUUGGCCUUCUAAGAAUGUGUCCCAGUAAGAAAUACUUUGAGCUACAUAAAGAGUUGGGUAAAAAGAAAGCCAUCAUGAAUUGAACACCAACUAUACACCCACCACUUUCUUUGACAUCUUAUAUAUGUAUCAUUUAGUGAGAAACAAAAUUACUUAGAAGUUAAAAUCAAAUGCAAAAUGAAAGUCACUGGCUAAAAUUCUCUACCAUGGACAGAGCCAAUCUGGGCCUCCUUGUAUAUUGUUCUUGAAGGACCUUGGAUAAGUUAAAAUUAAAUGAAAUAUUGGACAUUAUCAACAAGGCAUUCUCUUAGAAUGAUAUGUGUCUUGCAUGUUGCCAGAUUGUGAUGAUAAUUUUAUAUGUCAACUUAACUAAGAAAAGGAAUGCCCAGAUAGCUGAUAAAAUGUUAUUUUUGGGUGUGUGUGUGAGGGUGUUUCCAGAGAAGAUCAGUAUUUUACUCAGUAGACUGAGUAAACACAGUUCUCCCUCACCAAUGUGGGCAGCCAUCAUCUUAUCCAUCGAGGGUCCAAAUGGAACAAAAAGGUAGAGGAAGGGCCAAUUAUUUCUCUCUCUUCUUGAGUUGGGAUAGCCAUGUUCUCCUGCCCUUGGACAUCAGAGCCCCUGGUUCUUGGGCCUUUGAACUCAGAGACUCACCCCAGAGCUGCCUCUCAUCCAUCCCCUACUGCUCCUCCCUGGUUCUCAGGCUUUUGGCCUUGGACAGGCAGUUACACCAUUAGCUCCCUUAACUCUCAAACCUUUGGACUUUGGCUGAAUUACACUAUUGGCUUUCCUGGUUUUCCAGCAUAGAGACAGCAUAUCUUAAAAUUUCCUGGACUCCAUAACCGUUGUGAGCCAAUUCUCAUAAUAAAUCUCCUCUUAUAUUUCUGUUAUCCCAUUGGUUACGUUUCCCUGAAGAACACUGAUUAAUAUACUGACCUUCACUCUUUACAUUUGUAUACUAAAAUAUUGUAACUCAAUUUUGAAGCUAACCACCUGGAGUUAGUGUUAGACUCCCCAUAGAUUAAAAGACACGAUCCCCAACGAGACUGCCCUCACUUCAGAUGUGAACAGCAAGUUAGAGGGUCCCCAGGCUACCUGUACUUUUGAUCAACUGGCUACAAAACUGGGAUGUUCCCAUGU
ensembl:lncRNA novel transcript